AUUGAACGCUGGCGGCAUGCUUUACACAUGCAAGUCGAACGGCAGCGCGGGCUUCGGCCCGGCGGCGAGUGGCGAACGGGUGAGUAAUACAUCGGAACGUGCCCAGUAGUGGGGGAUAGCUCGGCGAAAGCCGGAUUAAUACCGCAUACGACCUGAGGGUGAAAGCGGGGGAUCUUCGGACCUCGCGCUAUUGGAGCGGCCGAUGGCGGAUUAGCUAGUUGGUGGGGUAAAGGCCUACCAAGGCGACGAUCUGUAGCUGGUCUGAGAGGACGACCAGCCACACUGGGAGUGGGACACGGCCCAGACUCCUGCGGGAGGCAGCAGUGGGGAAUUUUGGACAAUGGGCGAAAGCCUGAUCCAGCAAUGCCGCGUGUGUGAUGAAGGCCUUCGGGUUGUAAAGCACUUUUGGCGGGAACGAAAAGGACUGUGCCAAUACCACGGUUCGAUGACGGUACCCGCAGAAUAAGCACCGGCUAACUACGUG
rnacentral:rRNA from 1 species